UACAGAGGUCCCGAGCGUUGUUCGGAUUCAUUGGGCGUAAAGGGUGCGUAGGCGGCGCGGUAAGUCGGGUGUGAAAUCUCGGGGCUUAACUCCGAAACUGCAUUCGAUACUGCCGUGCUUGAGGACUGGAGAGGAGACUGGAAUUUACGGUGUAGCGGUGAAAUGCGUAGAUAUCGGGAGGAACACCAGUGGCGAAGGCGACUAC
rnacentral:rRNA from 1 species